rnacentral:rRNA from 1 species
GCUAGCUACAGGCUUAACACAUGCAAGUCGAGGGGUAGCAGGGUAGCAAUACCGCUGACGACCGGCGCACGGGUGAGUAACACGUAUCCAACCUUCCCAUAACUCGGGGAUAGCCUUUCGAAAGAAAGAUUAAUACCCGAUAGUACUUAAGAAAGGCAUCUUUUUUAAGUUAAAGAUUUAUUGGUUAUGGAUGGGGAUGCGUUCCAUUAGAUAGUUGGUGAGGUAACGGCUCACCAAGUCUUCGAUGGAUAGGGGCUCUGAGAGGAAGGUCCCCCACAUUGGUACUGAGACACGGACCAAACUCCUACGGGAGGCAGCAGUGAGGAAUAUUGGUCAAUGGGCGAGAGCCUGAACCAGCCAAGUAGCGUGAAGGAUGACGG